AGUUAGUCAAAUAAGUUACAAUCUAACUUCCUACUAAAUAAAAAGUCCCAAUAAAUUUAAAGUUAUUAGCUAUAUUUCUUAUUAUUUCUGUACUAGUGAUUUCCAUAUCAAAAUAUAAUUCUGUUUAAUUACAAAAUCUAAACCCUAACCACUAUUUUAUCAACCCAAACCAAUAUAUAAUUUUGACUAAUUAUAAACUCUAAACCCUAAUCACUAUUUUAUCAACCCAAACCGAUAUAUAAUUUCGUUUAAUUACAAAAUCUAAACCCUAACCCCUAUUUUGUCAACCCAAACUGAAAUAUAAUUU
rnacentral:lncRNA from 1 species